rnacentral:rRNA from 1 species
CAGCCGCCGCGGGAAUACGAAGGGGGCUAGCGUUGUUCGGAUUUACUGGGCGUAAAGCGCACGUAGGCGGAUCGAUCAGUCAGGGGUGAAAUCCCAGAGCUCAACUCUGGAACUGCCUUUGAUACUGUCGAUCUGGAGUAUGGAAGAGGUGAGUGGAAUUCCGAGUGUAGAGGUGAAAUGCGUAGAUAUCGGAAGGAACACCUGUGGCGAAAGCGGCUCACUGGACCAUUACUGACGCUGAGGCGCGAAAGCUAGGAGAGCAAACAGGAUUAGAUACCCGUGUAGUCCCUGUCUCUUAUAA